CACUCUUGACUUCUUCUGCAAAACUAUAGAGAUAUAGCCGAGGUUAACAGAAUGACAGAUGGUGCAUGGUUGUCGUCAGCUCGUGUCGUGAGAUGUUCGGUUAAGUCCUGCAACGAGCGCAACCCUUAUCCUUAGUUACUACCAUUUAGUUGAGAACUCUAGGGAGACUGCCCAAGUAAUUGGGAGGAAGGUGGGGAUGACGUCAAAUCAUCAUGCCUCUUACGAGUGGGGCAACACACGUGCUACAAUGGCCGGUACAAAGAGAUGCAAAAUGGUGACAUGGAGCCAACCUCAAAAAACCGGUCUCAGUUCGGAUUGUAGUCUGCAACUCGACUACAUGAAGUCGGAAUCGCUAGUAAUCGUAGAUCAGCUACGCUACGGUGAAUACGUUCUCGGGUC
rnacentral:rRNA from 1 species